rnacentral:rRNA from 1 species
AACGAACGCUGGCGGCAGGCCUAACACAUGCAAGUCGAACGCCCCGCAAGGAGAGCGGCAGACGGGUGAGUAACGCGUGGCAACCUACCGUUUGGUUCGGCACAACCUACUGUAACGGGGGCGAUUACGGGAUAAGCCCUAACCUGGAAAGGUCUAACGCCGAAAGAUCGGAGCACGUCUGAUUCGCACGUUGGGCGGGUAACUGCUCAGCAAGGGGACAAGCAGUAGCUGGUGUGAGAGGAUGAUCAGGCACACUGAGACUGAGACACAGCGCAGACUCCUACGGAAUGCAGCAGUGGGGGAUAUUGGACAACCGGCGCAAGCCUGAUCCAGCCAUGCCGGGUGAGUGAUGAAGUCGGUAGAGUAGUAAAGCACGUUUGUCCGGGACGAUAAUGACUGUACCGGAAGAAUAAGCCCCGGCUAACUUCGUG